UGGGGAAUUUUGGACAAUGGGGGCAACCCUGAUCCAGCAAUGCCGCGUGUGUGAAGAAGGCCUUCGGGUUGUAAAGCACUUUUGUCCGGAAAGAAAACGCCGUGGUUAAUACCCGUGGCGGAUGACGGUACCGGAAGAAUAAGCACCGGCUAACUACGUGCCAGCAGCCGCGGUAAUACGUAGGGUGCAAGCGUUAAUCGGAAUUACUGGGCGUAAAGCGUGCGCAGGCGGUCCGCUAAGACAGAUGUGAAAUCCCCGGGCUUAACCUGGGAACUGCAUUUGUGACUGGCGGGCUAGAGUAUGGCAGAGGGGGGUAGAAUUCCACGUGUAGCAGUGAAAUGCGUAGAGAUGUGGAGGAAUACCGAUGGCGAAGGCAGCCCCUGGGCCAAUACUGACGCUCAUGCACGAAAGCGUGGGGGAGCAAACAGGAUUCAGAUACCCUGGUAGUCCACGCCCUAACGAUGUCAACUAGUUGUCGGGUCUUCAUUGACUUGGUAACGUAGCUACGCGUGAAGUUGACCGCCUGGGGAGUACGGUCG
rnacentral:rRNA from 1 species